rnacentral:misc_RNA from 1 species
AACGCAAAUUGCGCUCUCGGGAUAGGCCUGGGAGCACGCCUCUUUGAGUAUCGUUUCAACCACAACUCGAAAGCGUGCUUAAUUGCAUCGCUGACGGAAAAUGAGCGUUCUCGUGCUUUCGAGACGCUUUAAAUUGAGCGAGUGACUUGACAUCUGUCUUCAGACGGCUCUUGUCAGUAGUGACGAGGAUAACUUCACAUUCAAUUGUGAACCCUUCCAUCGUGACUGCGCGACUGAGUGCUGUUUGGCGUGGCUGUCGCCUGUCACGGCCUAUCUGUGAAUCAUCUGCUAUGGUGGUCGCAGAACUCUCUUUUGAACUAGAUCUCAAAUGAAGCGAGAAAACCCGCUGAACUUAA